ensembl:antisense
GUCUCUCCGCUAAUAGGAUGCUCUGUGGAGGAGCCCUUGGGAGGGUCUCACUGUGCAGCCCUGGCUGACCUGGAAAUUGCUGUGUAGUCUAGACGGGGCUUGGACUCACAGAGAUCCACCUGCCUCAGAUAGGCUCCAUUGCUCUCCGUCUUUUCCAUCCUACGGUAGGAGUGUGCUUUGAGGAGUGACAUCACAGGCUCUGGCUGACUCGCACUGUAAGGUAAGGUCUAUACCACAGGGAUAAUGAAGGUAGAAGCAGUGCGAACUGGGAGCUGAGGUAUUCAAGGGCUGAGCCCUGGCUCGCCCACCCUGCAGGCCUCUCUACUAGGCAGAGAGCUAUGCUGCUGUCUUGUUUAAGCAGUAUAACUGGGAGACUCCACUUUCCUCGGUUAAACCCACUCCUUGCUGGUGAACACUCAUUCCUUUACAUCACAUGACUCUUCACUGGCCUUCGCCAGUGAGUCUUAGGUCAUUUCCUCUUAACUGUCCGAGUCCAAGUUCUUGUUCCUCAGAUCACAAGCAGAGCUUGUUGAGAAGCUAUCUUCAUGCCUGCAGCAACGGAUGAAGAAUGUCCCAGCUACAGCUACUUCAACCAGUUCCCAAAAUAGUUGCCUGAAGCCCAGUAGGGACAGUAUGACUCAGUUCCACUCCGCAGGACAGUGCUCAUGCCAAACCUGCCUGUUUCUGUAGAGGCAACUUCGUUGCUGGGAGAAGGGCAUCAGGGACGCAUGUGCAGAACCCAUGGAAGUUUUCAGAAGACACAGCUAGUCUGUGUGUCUAUCAGUCAGGCUUGGCAAUAUGUUCCAGACUCAUUCCUCUGUGACAAGCAACCCCAUUUGUUCCUUAGGACAGCCUCCUUCUAGACUAUGGUGUGCCCCAAAAUCAGCUCAUAAAUAUAUCUUUGUCUGGAAUAAAAAGUCGAACUGUU